rnacentral:rRNA from 1 species
CCUACGGGAGUCAGCAGUGAGGAAUAUUGGUCACUGGACGAGAGUCUGAACCAGCCAAGUCGCGUGAAGGAUGACUGCCCUAUGGGUUGUAAACUUCUUUUAUCUGGGAAUAAAAUGUUCCACGUGUGGGAUUUUGUAUGUACCAUAUGAAUAAGGAUCGGCUAACUCCGUGCCAACAGCCGCGGUAAUACGGAGGAUCCGAGCGUUAUCCGGAUUUAUUGGGUUUAAAGGGAGCGUAGGUGGAUUGUUAAGUCAGUUGUGAAAGUUUGCGGCUCAACCGUAAAAUUGCAGUUGAAACUGGCAGUAUUGAGUACAGUAGAGGUGGGCGGAAGUCGUGGGGUAGCGGUGAAAUGCUUAGAUAUCACGAAGAACUCCGAUUGCGAAGGCAGUUCACUGGACUGCAACUGACACUGAGGCACGAAAGUGUGGGUAUCAAACAGGAUUAGAUACCCUGGUAGUC